AUGCUGAAUGAAAACUAUGGGCUCAUGCUUUCACUUGUGUCUACAGCCUCGCGGGUGGCCAAGAGCUCAGUCCUGCUGUCUUGCAGUGGGGUUCCAACCAUCCUUCAGCUACUUACUGAGUCACCUUCAAUUGCUAUUGUAGGGAUAUCAGAUACCAUUAUGGCCCAGGCUCUGGGUGAAUAUACUGCCCUGCCAGCUGGAGUAAAUGUCGAACACUUUACGUUUUAUCAAGGUAAGCAAACAAUAGAAUAAAACACUUCUUUGUGCAUCUGACUGGUGGUGUUUUUUACUAUGAAAACUGAAUAAGAGAAUAGAGAUGUACAGAUACUAUGCUUCAGUGUUUUCAUCACCUUGCUUAAGAGAAGAAAACAUACCAGGAAAAGGUUUGCCUUUGCAUGAAAGGAAAAUUUUAAAUAGAUAGAUAGAUACAGAUAUUUACAUAUAUGUAUACAUAUGUACACAUAUACACGUAUUUGUACAAAUACACAUAUUCUUAUCCUUAUGUACAAAUGCAUAUAUUCUUAUGUGUACAUAUGUGUGUGUGUAUAUAUAUAAAUGCAUGUAUUUUAAUAGACAGAAAGCUUUUUUCUGGAAAGGAAUAAAUAGCAAAUAUUUUAGGCAUUGGGGUCUCUAUGGCAACUAAUCAACUCUGCUAUUGUAGUGCAAAAGCAUCCAUAGACACGUAAAGGAAUGACCAUGUCUGUGUUCUAAUAAAACUUUAUUUAUGAACACCAAAAUUUGAACUUUAAUUAUUUUUAUGUGUCACAAUAUUCUUUUGAUAUUUUUUAACUAUUUAAAAAUGUAAAAACCAUUCUUCACUCAACUCAUACAAAGAAAGGCAGCAGCCAUAGUUUGCUGACCCUUGACCAGUAAGGUUAAUCUCAUGAUGAUGUCUCUGCUCAGGCCACGUAAUCUGAAUGAAACUGAACUCGCUGGGGAUUCCAACAAGUAAGUUAUCUGAACUCCAUUGGUUGUAAAAAGAAAUCCUUAUAAAUAGUAUCCUUCCAUCUCUCAGCCCACUCUCACCUUUCUCCCCUGUUUCCCUCCUCUGUCUCUGUGUCAUUCCUGAUAGACAAAAAGGAUUUAAUGGAAAAUGUGCUCCAGCUACUUCCAACAUUGACUGCUUAUGCUAUUAAUAUCAAGGUAACAUGGCUGGUGACAGCUUCUUUCAUUGAUUCAUAAUUCAUGUCCCUGUUAAAAGGUAUCUGAUCCUAUAAGUUAUACAUAUUUCACUCUGAAUAUGCUAAUCUCGUCAGUUUAAAUAAAAAUAAGACCACAACUUAUUUCUUCCCUCAUUGGGGAACUAAGGGAGAAAAUGUCUCUGUUGGUGGGGGGGGAAUCCCAAGACCUGGAAAAUACCUCUGACUCUGAAAGAUCAAAUCCUAUUGAAACCACAGUGAAAGCACCUCUUAGAGAUUCUGCCCAAUUCAAUGGUGUGCGUCCUAUGGCAGCAUGGCAGUAUUUCAGAUGUACUAGCUUUAUAGAGUUUCUAGAGAUAGCUAUUCUUGGCAAAUAUAUUUCAAGAAGUAGUCAUAUUUUUUUAAGUGUUUUUUAAAAGUCUCUGUUUAAAUGAAUAGGUUCAUCAAUCAGAAAACCCAGAGGCAGGUGGGGUAAAAAAAAAAAGGGCAAAGAUUUUUUUAUGUUAUUAAAGGAGAAAUUAUAUCUGAGGCCUGAAGCUCAAUUUGUGAAGAGCAUGAUCCACAGGACUCCUGUUAAAGUUAGGCUGCUGCUGAGACACUUCAAAAGAUCAUCUUUAUUACAGAACAAUUGCCUGACCCAGUUUCCUGGUCAGCAACAUACUUUUGUAGAAACUUCAGGAGCUGAUGAAAAAGCUCAGCAAAGUUAGCAAGGGUACUUUCAUCUGUGGCUCUCGGGAGGGGAAAUAUGAAAAGGUUUCUAGGUCUCUUGGAUUUAGCACUGCCAGGUCUACUGGCAUAGAAGCAAAGAAUGAAACAAAAGAUAUGGACAUGUUAUAAAAGGCAGUGUCUAACUUCUUGGCAAAUGUGCUUGCUAUUAUGGUUUGUAGAACACAGAGGUCUUUCUGUAUUCAUAGUCUUUUGCCUGUCAAAAUAUUUUGAUAUUGUAAUAAAACCCUACAGUAAAAUACAUCUUGCCCAUUGAGUAAGGAUUCACUGCUUCGGUAUAAAAAGAUAUUCUCUGCCCAUUCUUAGGCCUCCUUGAGAAAAAACUCUUGGUGCCCAAGCAUCUAAACAAUAUUUAAUUUGGAAUUCCGACAUGCAUCAUAAAACUAGCAUAAAGAGCAACAAUGUAUGUUUUAAUGAUUUCAAAGGGGAAAACACAUUUCCACAAAUGGCUCUAAGUUAAGUUCCCUUCAUUGCUUGCUGGAAAAUAUGACAUCUUUAAACAAAGCACUCUUGAGCUUUUUAUUUUAAGCAUCUGUGCACUUAUAUUUAUCAAUAAAAAUAAUCUUUCAAAAGAACUAUUCUGUUUUAUAAUUUCCUCUUCCAGUUUGAUUUUUUUCUUUAGAUUUAAUUUUUAGAAUGUCUUCUUAAUUCAUUUUUAAACUUACUGCUUGUAUUAGUUUCCUAGGGCUAUUGUAACAAGCUACUAAAACCUAGGGGGCUUAAAACAGAAUCUAUAGUCUCACAGGCCUGGAGGCUAGACCUCUGAAAUUAAGGUGUUGUCGGGGCCAUGCUCUCUCUGAGAGUCUAGAGGAAACCCUUUCUUGCCUUUGCCAGCAAAAUCCUUGGCAUUUCUGGACUUGUAGAUGGAUCACUAGAGUCACAAAGCCAUCUUCUCCCUGUGGGUCUUCACGUCAUCUUCCCUCUAUGUGCCUGUCUGUGUCCGGAUUGCCUCUUUUUUAUAAGGAUAUCAGUCAUAUCAGAUCAGGGCCCAGUCGAAUGAUCUAAUCUUAACUUGAUUACUUUUGUAAACACCUUAUUUUGAAAUAAGGUCAUAUUCUGAGCUACUGGGGGUUAGGAUUUUAACAUAUCUGUUUUAGGGAGACAAUUAAACCCAUAAACAUUUAUACUGUUAUGCAUUUAAUAGAAUAAAAAUGAAAUUAUUUAUACAGUAAGUAAAUAAUGCCAUUGGCUAAGAACAUUCAACAGCAC
rnacentral:lncRNA from 1 species